rnacentral:rRNA from 1 species
GAGCGGACAGAUGGGAGCUUGCUCCCUGAUGUUAGCGGCGGACGGGUGAGUAACACGUGGGUAACCUGCCUGUAAGACUGGGAUAACUCCGGGAAACCGGGGCUAAUACCGGAUGCUUGAUUGAACCGCAGGGUUCAAUUAUAAAAGGUGGCUUUUAGCUACCAUUAACAAAUGGACCCGCGGCGCAUAACCUAUUUGGGGAGGUACCGGCUCCCCAGGGCAACAAUGCGUACCCAACCUGAGAGGGUGAUCGCCCACCUGGGACGAAAAACGGCCCAAACUCCUACGGGAGGAAGCAGUAGGGAAUCUUCCGAAUGGCCGAAAGUCUGACGGACCACGCCGGGGGGGAAGGAAGGUUUUCGGAUCGAAAAUUUUUGGUAGGGAAGAACAAGUACCGUUCGAUAGGGGGUACCUUGACCGUCCUAACCAGAAAGCACGGCUAACUACGUGGC